UUUUGUUUGUAUUGUAUGGAUCAUGCCAAAAGAAAGAAUGGAUAGCCUUAACAUACAUAUUUUUGUAAAUUUGAACACCUCUUAAAUUUGGCAAAAAUCCCAAAGAAGUAGGAAUUGAACCACCUAUUUCAUUAUCAUGUAAACUAAGUUUUCUGAGAGCUUGAAACUGACCAAUUUUUUUCACUUAGUCUACCACUUAGUCCUUUUAAUGGAAUCUUGAUUAGAAUAACUUGACCUUGAGCACAUUUAAUACCAACCCAACUUCCUAAACAAGCUCCAACUCCAGUGUCAUUCCAACUUUUUAAGAUAUUGAACAAACAAUAUUUCUUCAUUCAGGGUAACUCAUCAGCCAUAUUAUUGGUUAUCGACCUCAGGUUAGAGAACUUCUUAGUUUAUCAUUAUUCCACUCCCGCAGUGGAGUUUAGAGAACAAACACACAAGUGCACCGAGUCUGACGCAUGACAACUCCAAGCAUCUUUCAGCUUUAAGUGUAUCUUUUCAUUCUUUCCUAUUUUUGCAUAGGUUGACAUAGGAGAACAUUUAAGUGAAAUAUAUGUGCACAAAAGUCAGAAAAUACAUUCAUGAAUGGCACAUCAUGAACUGUAAGAAUAUCUAGACAGGAGUGAAGACCAUGAAAUGGUAAAAUGUCACAUUCUUGCUCUUAUUGAAUGGUGUAGGUAAUGAUCAUAUUCCUUUUCCACAUGAUGAGAUUAGAAUUUGUGGAAAAUACUUUUCUCCAUGAUUAUAUAUAGGGGAAUGCAUUAUACUAGCCAACAAUAUGAGAACAUGCCGCCACCAUUCAAUAUCAAUCUUUCAUAUUCAAGAUCUCCUAUUCCACUCUCCACAUGCAGAAUUUCUGUCACUUCCCAUUGAUUGGUAUCAAGAUCAGAUUCAAACGACAUAUUUGUGUGAUUUACCCAUAAUUUUAAAAAUGGGUCAAAAAGUUGGCAUUAAGGAACUUCAGAGCCUAAAAGUAGGUCCAGUAACCUUUCAUGAGAUAUAUCAUUGAAAAUAAUCCAUUAAAAUUUUAAAAGAAUGUCUACAAAUGUGCAUUAUCUCACUCAGAAUAACUUGCUUAGUAUGCUCUUAUAAUAUGACACAUUUACACAUGGUAUAUGAGUCACUUUAUAGACCAUAGCUGGCGGCCACGUUGAUGCACUAAAGCUUAUCCAAAUUUAUCAAUCCUCACUAAUCCAAUAAUUAACCAAUUACCCAUUUAAUUAUAAAUUAUUUCAAAUUACUUAAAAUUCUACUUAUUUUUAAUACACUUUACAAAUCCUACUAUCAUUGUCAUAUGGUACCAUAUAAAAUUAAUACAUACAUUAUUAUUUCAUUAAAAUAUCCAUAUAAAAAUACAUAUAUUUUCUUAACUUAUGAUUUUCCUAAUCUCAUAUAAAGAGUAAAAAUUCGCGUACGCUUAAUUCUUAAAACGGAAAUUUUUAGCUUUGUGACGAUAAUUCGAUAAUUUCACUUAAGACCAUAUACAAAUAUUAAAGAUAUUAGGUAUGUGCUUCCACAUCUAUUUGUCUAUCUUCGAUGUCUAAUUGUCUAUCGACGUGAAAGCAUUCCAGGUGCUAAGAUUAGAUCAAAAGUCUUCUGAUCCAUAUCCUAUGAAAAAACCAUAGGUCUUCGACUAGGUUAGAUUACCAUAAAAAUACUAUUUACUCUUAUGAUAAAUAAAACCUCAUUUAUAAACUCCCACAUGUCAUGUAUAUAAUUUAAAACUUAUUAUAACCAUAUAAAAUCGUAUUUAUAAACUUUUACCGAAAAUGGUUUACUUCAAAAAAAAUACAUAUCAAGCCAAUAUAUAGUAGUUCCAAAAUUCUUCAAACUCACAAGGUCUUACAUCCAUAUCAUCAUGUAUAACCUUAAUCCUUUCCAACUCAUAUGUUAUUACUUCGACGAAUCCUAAAGUUGAGGUACGGGAUGUAACAUCCUUCCCCCUUUAAAAACAUUCGUCCUCGAAUGUUAACUCUUUGAUAUUUUCAAAACUUUCACUAAGGUCUCCUCUAUAUAUUAAACUAAAACUCAACCUCUAUCUGAGCUCUAGACUAUUCACAACCUUUUGUACUUGAAUAUCUCGUAUCUUCUUCACCUUUAACUUACUUACCUUUCAAUCUCUCAUCGUAUCUUCUAAUUUUUUUUUCAUAAUCUCCCUUCCACAUUACGCCUUAAAGCUCUACUGUGAUAGCACCUUUGGUGCAUAUAAAAUUUAGUGAAAGCUUGAUACUGACUUCUUACGACUUAGCUCUAUGACACGAUUUGGAAACAAAAGAAGGGUAACAUUUCUUAAAUGCCCUAUAGCCUCUCAAUUAUAAAUGUGGCGCACAAUAACCCAUAAGUGAAACUCUACUAAGCACGGCUUUGUAGACUCCCUAGGACACGACCCGCUCUGAUACCACUUUGUCACGCCCCGAACCUGGGAGGUGUGGCUGACAUCUGGUACCGUAGUGGUCCGAGCGAACCACUUUGAAACUCAUUCAUUCCUUUUGUAACUAUCAUGAGCCAACAUGAGCACAACUCGAAAUGUACAACUGUAAGUGAAAAACACUAUUUCGCUGAACCAUUUUUUUUAAAACAAGAAUUAAUAUGGGCCGACAAGGCCUCUCACAUACUGUGAAAAGUGAAUAUGUGUCUACAAAGCCUCUAAGAUUAUUCAACAUCAAAUGGGAUUGGGUACCAGCCUACCCAUAUGUCUGUAGAAAAACUCUGACACGAUAACUCAUAGACUCGACUGCACUCUGAAUGAGGUGGAGUCUUACCGAUCCGUCGUUGAACGCAGACCUCGUCUAUUGUGAGGGUUCGUCAAUCAGAUUAUAUAUACUUGCAGACAUGAGUGCAGCGUCCCCAACAAAAGGACGUCAAUACGAAUAAUGUACUGAGUAUGUAAGGCAGAACUAAAACAUAACAGUAAGUUAAUAAAAACUAAGGACAUAGAAAAAAUAUUGAGUAAAUGACUCAACCUAUAAAUCUGAAUAGCUCUGUAAAUCAUGAAAUAUUUAUAGUAUCAUGCAUAUGCGUAUAAAUAUCAUGUAAUGCAUAGGUCUGUAUGUACAUAACAUCAUAAAGUCUCAGAGGGCAUCCCAUCAUAUCAUCUCAGCCACAUUGGGCAAAUCAUCAACGUAUACCAGCUGAUCGGGUGGUAUUGCGUAUAAAAGGCCAUAACCUUUUUCCAUAUUCCAUAUACAUAUAUAUAUAUAUACAUAUAUACGCUUAUAUAACGCCAUGUGAGUCAUGGGUAAAUGCAACAUGUGAAUGAAUGCGAUGCAUGAGAAGUACGUUAAUAAAAUCUUUCGGAAUGUCAUAAGACCAUUAUGCAUUUGAUUAAUAUCAUGAAAUAAACAUUACCAACUUGUGUAUUUUCUGAGACCCAUGAACAUAUGAUUAAAUAAUAGGACACAGGGGAAUUCAAGAAUAUAGACACCUCUAAUACUUUUAUGAAUAGAUCAUGCCAAAAGAAAGAAUGGAUAGCCUUUACAUACAUAUUUUUGUAAAUUUGAACACCUCUUAAAUCUGGCAAAAAUCCCAAAGAAGUAGGAAUUGAACCACCUAUUCAUUAUCAUGUAAAUUAAGUUUUCUGAGAGCUUGAAACUGACCAAUUUUUUUCACUUAGUCUACCACUUAGUCCUUUUAAUGGAAUCUUGAUUACAAUAACUUGACCUUCAGCAUAUUUAAUACCAACCCAACUUCCUAAACAAGCUCCAACUCCAGUGUCAUUCCAACUUUUUAAGAUAUUGAACAAACAAUAUUUCUUCAUUCAGGGUAACUCAUCAGCCAUAUUAUUGGUUGUCGACCUCAGGUUAGAGAACUUCUUAGUUUAUCAUUAUUCCACUCCCGCAGUGCAGUUUAGAGAACAAACACACAAGUGCACUGAGUCUGACGCAUGACAACUCCAAGCAUCUUUCAGCUUUAAGUGUAUCUUUUCAUUCUUUCCUAUUUUUGCAUAGGUUGACAUAGGAGAACAUUUAAGUGAAAUAUAUGUGCACAAAUGUCAGAAAAUACAUUCAUGAAUGGCACAUCAUGAACUGUAAGAAUAUCUAGACAGGAGUGAAGACCAUGAAAUGGUAAAAUGUCACAUUCUGGCUCUUAUUGAAUGGUGUAGGUAAUGAUCAUAUUCCUGUUCCACAUGAUGAGAUUAGAAUUUGUGGAAAAUACCUUUCUCCAUGAUUAUAUAUAGGGGAAUGCAUUAUACUAGCCAACAAUAUGAGAACAUGCCGCCACCAUUCAAUAUCAAUCUUUCAUAUUCAAGAUCUCCUAUUCCACUCUCCACAUGCAGAAUUUCUGUCACUUCCCAUUGAUUGGUAUCAAGAUCAGAUUCAAACGAUAUAUUUGUGUGAUUUACCCAUAAUUUUAAAGAUGGGUCAAAAAGUUGGCAUUAAGGAACUUCAGAGCCUAAAAGUAGUAUCAUUGAAAAUAAUCCAUUAAAAUUUUAAAAGAAUGUCUACAAAUGUGCAUUAUCUUACUCAGAAUAACUUGCUUAGUA
rnacentral:lncRNA from 1 species